rnacentral:pre_miRNA from 1 species
GGGGAGCGCCGGAUCUUGGGCUGUGUCCCCGAGGCCCUGUGCUCCUGGGUCUGUGCUGUUGGACUCAGGCUCCUGGCCGCGCAGCUCCUU